GAUGAAGAACGCAGCGAAAUGCGAUACGUAAUGUGAAUUGCAAAUUCAGUGAAUCAUCGAGUCUUUGAACGCACAUUGCGCCCCCUGGUAUUCCGGGGGGCAUGCCUGUCCGAGCGUCAUUGCUGCCCUCAAGCACGGCUUGUGUGUUGGGCCCCGUCCUCCGAUCCCGGGGGACGGGCCCGAAAGGCAGCGGCGGCACCGCGUCCGUCCUCGAGCGUAUGGGGCUUUGUCACCCGCUCUGUAGGCCCGGCCGGCGCUUGCCGAUCAACCCAAAUUUUUAUCCAGGUUGACCUCGGAUCAGGUAGGGAUACCCGCUGAACUUAAGCAUAUCAAUAAGCGGAGGA
rnacentral:misc_RNA from 1 species